rnacentral:rRNA from 1 species
AUUGAACGCUGGCGGCAGGCCUAACACAUGCAUGUCGAACGAGUGGCGGACGGGUGAGUAAUGUCUGGGAAAAUGCCAGAUGGAGGGGGAUAACUACUGGAAACGGUAGCUAAUACCGCAUACCAUCGGAUGUGCGCAGAUGGGAUUAGCUAGUAGGUGGGGUAACGGCUCACCUAGGCGACGAUCCCUAGCUGGUAUGAGAGGAUGACCAGCCACACUGUAACUGAGACACGGUCCAGACUCCUACGGGAGGCAGCAGUGGGGAAUCUUGCACAAUGGGCGCAAGCCUGAUGCAGCCCGGCCGCGUGUAUGAAGAAGGCCUUCGGGUUGUAAAGUACUUUCAGCGAGGAGGCGUUACUCUCAGAAGAAGCACCGGCUAACUCCGUGCCAGCCGCCGCGGUAAUAC